UACAACUAUCUGGGGUGCCUAACGGCUGAGAAACACCCAUCGAACCUGAUCUGGUUAGUACCAGCGAAGGGAGCAUAUUCCGUUGUAUUC
rfam:Lactobacillus senioris DSM 24302 = JCM 17472 strain DSM 24302 NODE_28, whole genome shotgun sequence.